rnacentral:tRNA from 1 species
AAAAAAUUAGUUAAAUUUAUAACAUAAGCUUGUCAAGCUUAAAUUAUCUUCUUAGAUAUUUUUUA